ensembl:misc_RNA 7SK 7SK RNA
UGACAUCUGUCAUUCCACUGAUCUCCCGGGUUGAUUCGGCUUGUCUGGAUGGCUAAGUGGGUGGCC